rnacentral:lncRNA from 10 species
GGUUGAUCCGGGUGACCAUGAACGGAGACAGACAGUUAUGAAAGCCCCAAAGUUAAGGGAGAAAAACGGUUAUCCAAAAUUAAGCCAUGGACGAACUGCAUUUCCCAUCUUUGCAGCUUGAAUGAAACAAAUCAUGAGGAUUCAGCUGAAGAACAUCUCCUACUGAGAAGCCUCUCCUGAUGGACUCUUCCCCAAUUCCUGAUUUUUUCCAUUCCUCUCUCCAUAACAGAGAGGCUCCUCCUCCAUGCUGCCAUGGUCACCUUGUUAACAUCCAUCAGUGGACACCAUAAAACAACGUAUUUUUGAAAACUUGCUAAGCUUUGUAAUUUAAUUGUGAAAUGCAUGGGAAAUAUUUGUAGCUAACAUUUAGUUGAGUGCUUACUACGCAUCGUGUCCCAUUCCAGAACUUUACACAAAUUAUCUCAUUAAAGUUUUUUA